UUUCAAGCUUAUUAUUUAUUCUUUAGUAUUUUGUUUAGCUCUUGAGAGUAUUUUUUUCUAUUUUUCUAAUUUGGAUAUUGCUAUAUAUAGAUUUCAGGCUCCCCAGGUGGCAAUGGUGAUAAAGAAUCUGCCUGCCAAUGCAGGAGACAGAAGAGAUGCAGGUUUGAUCCCUGGGUCAGGAGGAUCCCCUGGAGGAGGACAUGGCAACCCACUCCAGUAUUCUUGCCUAGAGAAUCCCAUGGUCAGAGGAGCCUGGUGGGCUGCAGUCCAUUUGAUGCACAGAGUCAGACAUGACUGAAGCCACUUAGCACGCACACACGCAUAUAUAGAUUUGACUUUUUUAUUGUGGUAAAAUAUAUAUAAGAUUUAUCAUUUUAACCAUUUUCAAGUGUAUAGUUCAAUGGCAUUAAGAAAAUGCACAUGCAAUUGACUUUAUUUUUUUUGCAAUUGACUUUUUAAAUAGUCAUAUAAAUCAGUCACUUUUCUGAAAACUCUUCAACAGGUCUUAUGUAUUUUCUUUUAUCCCCAAAGAGAAGUAUAACAUGCUAAUGAGAAUAAGGUUGUCUCCACUCGAAUACAAAUAUCUUGCUUUGAUGGUGGGGAGGGGCAGACUUCCAAAACCACGUUUAAUCAUUGUUUAGGAUAGUAUGCUUUCUUUUUUACAAAAAUUUCUUAAUAUUUAUUUUUGGCUGUGUUGGGUCUUAUAGUUGUGGCUCAUGGGCUUAGCUGGCCCGAGGCAUGUGGGAUCGAACGUGAGUCCUCGGCACUGGAAGUCUGUCUUAACCACUGGAUCAGGGAAGUCCCAGUGAGGUCCAAUCUUAGUGAUCGGUCUAGUAGCCAGGUGAGGCUUUGGGGCAGAUCCUGGAGAGCGCAUGGUCUUGUGGGGUACCUGCCUCCUUCGAGGCUUCUGCGUGGUCUUCAGGUCGUGGGGGUGGGAUGGGAGCGGGCCUCUUCUACAGGCCCCAGAGCUUCAGAUGAGUCUGAGGUUCUACCACUUAGGUUUUCAUCCUUAGUCUCAGGGUCCCACCUCUUCCUUAUCAGAGCCCUGACUGUGGUGUUGGCGAGUAACCAUGACUAAGAAGUUGACCAUUUCUAAAGUUCAGCUCCUUUUUAAAAAAAUUAUUUUUAAUGUAUUUAUGGCUGUGCUGGGUCUUCGUUGCUGUGUGAAGGCUUUCUCUAGUUGUGGCGAGCAGGGGCUACUUUCUGGUUGCGGUGCUCCGGCUUCUCACCGUGGUGGCUUCUCUUGUUGCCGAGCACAGGCUCUAGAGCACGGGCCUCAGUAGCUGUGGAAACGCCGGCUUAGUUGCCCCGCAGCACAUGGAGUCUUCCGGGCAGGGAUCAAACCCACGUGCCCUGUUCUGGCAGGCGGAUACUCAACCACUGGACCACCAGGGAAGUCCCAAAGUUUUAGCUCCUUUUCUGUGAGCCUGAGCCUGGUCCUCAGAACUCUCUGCCCUCUGACUGCAGGUGACUGCUGCUUAACAGGCUGCUAAGCAGAUCCUUCUGGCUUUGCUGUAUAUUGGUUAAGAGAGUGCCUAGAGGCAGUUGUUUUGCCUCUUUCAAGCAUCAGUAGCCACCUAAUUUCUGUUUUAAAAAAUUUCCCCCACGUCCUCAAACACCAGAGAGAUUGAAUAAGCCAAUGCACCCCCAUCUACCACUCUCCCAUCCACCUCCCCCAAGAUAAUGGUCAUCACACAGCUGUCAGCAUCCUAGUAAGCACCUGAAAUCCUAUCCUUAGACUCUGCUUCUUAGGACCACACCGGGUACCAACUCUUUUAAGCUGAGCCACGGAGAAGCAGGGCUUGAGACAAUUCCAGUGCCUGCAUUUCAUGGAGGGGGAGUGUUUGGGGAGAAAGGGAAUGGAGGAAGGACGGUCAGGAAAAGGAGUUAAGUAAGGAUGCAGUCUCAGGGAGAUGAGCUUGCUUCUGAUUUCAUUGGCUCUGGAAUGGCAACUGUAUCCUAAGGUUGGUCACUGUUUGAGGCAAGGUCUUUCUGAACCCUACAUCAAGUGAGCCACUGGCCUAGGCUAAAAGGGGGAGGUAUGUGGGCUUAACUUGCCCACGAGACAGCCCCGCAUCAGCCAAGAACAGCUGUCAGAACUGGGUAACUCUGCGUUCUUAGCGGCCAACACACAGAGCAGCUGGGAGUGGUUGGGCAAUAACAGCACCCACCACAGG
ensembl:lncRNA